rnacentral:rRNA from 1 species
CGCGUAGGCGGUCUGUUAAGUCCGAUGUUAAAGACUGGGGCUCAACCCCGGCAUUGCGUUGGAUACUGGCAGGCUGGACGGUUGGAGAGGCGAGUGGAAUUACCAGUGUAGCGGUGGAAUGCGUAGAUACUGGUAGGAACACCCAUUGCGAAGGCAGCUCGCUGGACAACACGUGACGCUGAGGCGCGAAAGUGUGGGGAGCAAACC